UAAUUACAAGAUGAGCACAAUCGUCUAACGAUUGGCUUUGGGACACAUUUCUUAACAACUCCCAUUGGGACUAAAGUCAAUCGGUAUAGUAUCGAAUACCCAUCUUUGACUUGUGGUCAUCAAACUUCUUGAUUCUGAUAGCUUUAGUAAAUGGGUGGUCAGGUUCUCCUUUCCAUCAAUCUUCGGAAGGUCGACGUCACCUCGAUCCAUGAUCUUCUGAAUAAGGUGAUAGCAGUGCAGAAUAUGUUUGGUGUGCUGAUGUGAUCUUGACUCCUUGGCUUGAGCAAUGGCUCCAGUAUUAUCACAAUAUAACAAUACAAGGCC
rnacentral:lncRNA from 1 species